CCUACGGGGGGCAGCAGUGAGGAAUAUUGGUCAAUGGACGAGAGUCUGAACCAGCCAAGUAGCGUGAAGGAUGACUGCCCUAUGGGUUGUAAACUUCUUUUAUAAAGGAAUAAAACGAGGCACGUGUGCCGUUUUGCAUGUACUUUAUGAAUAAGGAUCGGCUAACUCCGUGCCAGCAGCCGCGGUAAUACGGAGGAUCCGAGCGUUAUCCGGAUUUAUUGGGUUUAAAGGGAGCGUAGAUGGGUUGUUAAGUCAGUUGUGAAAGUUUGCGGCUCAACCGUAAAAUUGCAAUUGAUACUGGCAGUCUUGAGUACAGUUGAGGUAGGCGGAAUUCGUGGUGUAGCGGUGAAAUGCUUAGAGAUCACGAAGAACCCCGAUUGCGAAGGCAGCUUACUAAACUGUGACUGACAUUGAUGCUCGAAAGUGUGGGUAUCAAACAGGAUUAGAUACCCCUGUAGUC
rnacentral:rRNA from 1 species